rnacentral:lncRNA from 1 species
CAGAGCUGGGGCUGAGGGAUGGACUGAUGCUUUUAGGCUCAAACGUGGCUUUUAGACAGAUUUGUUCAUAGACCCUCUCAAGUGCCCUCUCCGAGCUGAUGUUCUCUCCCAGGGGCUGGCUUCAGGAGGGAGCAUAGAAGGCAGGCCCUUUCCUCAGGCAAGGUCUGGCCUCAGGUGGGCCGCAGGCGGGAAGAGCAGCCCUUGGCCAGAAGUCAAGCCCAGCCACGUGGAGCCUAGAGUGAGGGCCUGAGGUCUGGCUGCUUGCCCCCAUGCUGGGGCCAACAACUUCUCCAUCCUUUCUGCCUCUCAACGUCACUUGAAUCCUAGGGCCUGGGUUUUCAUGUUUUUGAAACAGAACCAUAAAGCAUAUGUGUUGGCU